GUUGAAUAUGUUUGGAGUUCUUUGAGCUUCCUUGAUCUUGAUGUCCAUCUCUUACCAAGAUCUCGAUGUCCUGGAUCUCGAUGUCCAAAACUUACCAAGACUUGAAAUUUGAAUCUCCUUCUGAAAAAGUAAGUCCACUCAGUUUUCACUUUCACUUUCCAUCAAUCAUUUACAUCAAUCCUCUCAACACUGUUUACAUUAGAAGGAGAAAAUUUUAAAAACCAUU
rnacentral:lncRNA from 1 species